rnacentral:pre_miRNA from 1 species
UUUAACUCCUUUUUAUAAUAUGGAUGUGACUAGUAUUUUUAUUAUUGUUAGAUGAUAAAACAUGAAUAAUACUUUAUGUAUGACUUAUCUUUUUAAAUUUUUUCAUAAUUUUUUUAAAUAAGACGAACGGUCAAACGUUAGACACGGAAACUCAGG